rnacentral:rRNA from 1 species
AUUGAACGCUGGCGGCAGGCCUAACACAUGCAAGUCGAACGGUAACAGGAAACAGCUUGCUGUUUCGCUGACGAGUGGCGGACGGGUGAGUAAUGUCUGGGAAACUGCCUGAUGGAGGGGGAUAACUACUGGAAACGGUAGCUAAUACCGCAUAACGUCGCAAGACCAAAGAGGGGGACCUUCCGGCCUCUUGCCAUCGGAUGUGCCCAGAUGGGAUUAGCUAGUAGGUGGGGUAACGGCUCACCUAGGCGACGAUCCGUAGCUGGUCUGAGAGGAUGACCAGCCACACUGGAACUGAGACACGGUCCAGACUCCUACGGGAGGCAGCAGUGGGGAAUAUUGCACAAUGGGCGCAAGCCUGAUGCAGCCAUGCCGCGUGUAUGAAGAAGGCCUUCGGGUUGUAAAGUACUUUCAGCGGGGAGGAAGGGAGUAAAGUUAAUACCUUUAGGGAUUGACGUUACCCGAAGAAGAAGCACCGGCUAACUCCGUG